GAAGGGAUAUCGUCCCUUUAGAACCAAGUACACUAACAAGUCUUCAGAUAAAUCCUACUUGAGCACCUUUAGUUUUGAGGCAAUGUGAGACAUUUCCAUAAUGUAGUCCCGAAUGUUUCUUUUCCUUUUAUACCUCAUUGAGACAAAGUUUACCAAAAGUGUACUUGUUUCAGCCUUUUCAUUAUUGGCAAACCUCUUCUCAAGAUCCUCAAAGAAAUCUUUAGCCGUAGUCACCUUAUCGGAC
rnacentral:lncRNA from 1 species